ACGGCUCAGUAACACGUGGCUAACCUGCCCUCGGGACGGGAAUACCCCCGGGAAACUGGGGCUAAUUCCCGAUAGGUGAAGAACUCUGGAAUGAGUCUCCGCCCAAAAGACGCUUAAAUCAUGCUUUUAGGCGCCGCCCAAGGAUGGGGCCGCGACCGAUCAGGUAGUUGGUGAGGCAACGGCUCACCAAGCCUUUAACCGGUGCGGGCCGUGGGAGCGGGAGCCCGGAGAUGGGCACUGAGACAAGGGCCCAGGCCCUACGGGGCGCAGCAGUCGCGAAAACUUUGCAAUACACGAAAGUGUGACAGGGCUAUCCCGAGUGCCAUCCGCUGAGGAAGGCUUUUACCCAGUCUAGAAAGCUGGGAGAAUAAGGAGAGGGCAAGUCUGGUGUCAGCCGCCGCGGUAAUACCAGCUCUCCGAGUGGUGUGGAUGUUUAUUGGGCCUAAAGCAUCCGUAGCUGGCCAAGUUAGUCCCCUGUUAAAUCCACCGAAUUAAUCGUUGGUGUGCGGGGGAUACUGCUCGGCUAGGGGACGAGAGAGGCCGACGGUAUUUUCGGGGUAGGGGUGAAAUCCUAUAAUCCCGAGAGGACCACCAGUGGCGAAGGCUGUCGGCUAGAACGCGCCCGACGGUGAGGGAUGAAAGCUGGGGUAGCGAACCGGAUUAGAUACCCGGGUAGUCCCAGCUGUAAACGAUGCAGGCUAGGUGUUUGGGCGGCCACGUGCCGCUCUAGUGCCGCAGGGAAGCUGUUAAGCCUGCCGCCUGGGGAGUACGGUCGCAAGGCUGAAACUUAAAGGAAUUGGCGGGGGAGCAC
rnacentral:rRNA from 1 species